rnacentral:lncRNA from 10 species
GUCGUUUUGAGUGUUUGAGUUAGAGAACCCCUGGGAAAGGAACUUCAAUUAUUUUUCUGUCUGGAUGAGUGUCAGAACAAUUCAUCAUAACAACUGGUACGAAUGCACGUAAUUCUGUAAAAGUCGCUCCUUGAACCAAGACAUUGGCAUUUGUUCCAUUGCCUUGAACUUUUUUUCUGGUUUCAGUUCACCAAGCCCUUUUUGCUUGGGCAGAAUUUAAGCCCCGUGGGUGAGGUAUACACAGUCACAAGACAAUGAGUAGCAACAAUUCGACAAUUAGCUGAAAUACUUGGGAGGUGCAGACAAUUAAGCCCAGAUCACCGUGGAGCAACCUUACGGAAGACGAUGUUGGAGUCUUGAUGUCCUGCUGUUCAUGCAUUAGAACAGCUCCCCGUCUACUGGAAAUUUCAGUUGAAGAUUCUCUUCAUCCCAUGACCAGACAGACAUAAGAUGUUCCUCAGAUGUUGUUGUGAGGAUUAUCAGACUCAGACAAGAAUUUUUACGUGAAAGGAUGUCCAUUCUACAAUCCGAGUGCUCAGUUGCCACUUUUAAAAGCACGUGGAGGCCGGAUGCGGUGGCUCACACCUGUAAUCCCAGCACUUUGGCAGGCUGAUCACCUGAGGUCAGCACUUUGAGACCAGCCUGAACAAUACAAAAAUUAGCUGGGCAUGGUGGCCAGCGCCUAUAGUCCCAGCUACUGGCGAGGCUGAGACAGGAGAAUUCCUCGAACCCGGGAGGCGGAGGUUGCAGUGAGCCGAGAUCGCACCACAGCACUCCAGCCCGGGAGACAGAGCGAGACUCCGUCUCAAAAACAAACAAAAAAGCACGUGGAUACGCCCUCAACCAACAAGACAGGAUACCUGCACUGCCCCUAGCCAGAGAACACAAACUUCACCAUUUGCUCCUCUCAGGACACAGCAGUCUACAGAACAGAAAAAGGCCCUCCUCACAAGAUUUACAUGCUAGUGAGGAUACAGGUCAUGAUACACGUUAUCACGACGUUCACUCUGAAAAAACACAAAACACGUUGGGAAAGAGAAUGACGGGCAGGUGGGCGGGGGGAGUGACCUCUUUCAGGUGGGUGGCCAAGAGCCCCUCCAAGGAGAUGGUGAAUUCUAGAUGAGGGAGGAAGCCAUUUGGGAGUGUGUCCAGAAUUGAUGGGUUUUUGGCCUCACUGACGUCAAGCAUAAAGCCUCAGACCCUCACAGCAAGUAUUACAGUUCUUAAAGGCGGCGUGGCUGGUGCUUGCGGUUAAGUGUUACAGGCCCUCAAAGGCGGCAUGGCCGGAGUUUGUUCCUUGACAUUCUGAUGUGUUGGGUGUUUUUUCCCUCUGGGGGGGUUCAUGGUCUCACCAGCGAGGAAAGCUGAGGACCUUCGUGGUGAGUGUUACAGCUCGCAAAUGCACCGUGAACCCAAAGAACAAACAACAACAAAAUUUAUUACAAAAAGCAAAAAAACAAAGCUACCACAGCCUGAAAACGGACCGUGGCGGCGUGCCGCGCUUGCCUCAGGCAGCCUGCCUUUAUUCUCUUAUCUGGCCCCACCCACAUCCUGCUGAUUGGUCCAUUUUACAGAGAGCCGACUGGUCUGUUUUACAGAGAGCUGAUUGGUCCAUUUUGACUAUUUUGAGCCUCGGGGAGGCUCGGGAGGCGCAGGAGCCCACGGCGUGGGGGAGGCUGAGGCAUGGCGGGCUGCAGGUCCCGAACCCUGCUCCGCAGGGAGGCAGCUAAGGCCCAGCGAGAAGUCGAGCACAGCAGCUGCUGGCCCAGGUGCUAAGCCCUUCACUUCCCCGGGCCGGCGGGGCUGUCGGGGCCGGCUGGUCGCUCCGAGUGCGGGGCCCGCCGAGUCCACGCCCACCCGGAACUCGCGCCGGUCCAUAAGCGCCGCGAGCAGCCCCGGUUCCCGCCCGUGCCUCUCCCUCCACACCUCCCCGCAAGCUGAGGGAGCCGGCUCCGGCCUUGGCCAGCCCAGGAAUGGGCUUCCACAGUGCAGCGGCGGGCUGAAGGGCUCCUCAAGCGCGGCCAGAGUGGGUGCCAAGGCCGAGGAGGCGCCAAGAGCGAGCGAGGGCUGUGAGGGCUGCCAUGCCGGUACACUGUCACUUCUCAGAAGGACGCAGGGCAGAGUUUCAGGCUGGCUCUGUCACCCAUGCUGGAGUGCAGUGGCAUGAUCUUGGCUCACUGCAACGUCUGACCCCUCUGAGUUCAAGCGAUUCUCCUGUCUCAGCCUCCUGAGUAGCUGGGACUAUAGGCGCCCGCCACCAUGGCCAGCUAAUUUUUGUAUUUUUAGUAGAGACGGGGUUUCACCAUAUUGGUCAGGCUGGUCUCAAACUCCUGACCUUAGGACCCGCCUGGCAUAUCUAGGAGGAGUGGACUAGAGAAUGUAGGAAUGUGAGGGAUGAGAUGGAAGACUGGGGGGACGGCGUCAGGCGUAGGCCAUGUAGAGGCCUUGCAGGUCAGGCGAAGGUUUUGGAGUUUAACUCUUGAGUCAGGAAGCGUUGGAGGGAAGCCAUUUCCAACCCACAUUUAGUAACUGAAUGCACUUCGAUGGUGUGCUUAUCCAUGGACCAAUUUUCCUCUGCUCCUUUUUCUCUUCUACAUUUUCCUAGGAUCUAAAUUCUAAUUUAUGCAUUUUUUUAUUGUAUAUAUUUUGGCAAAUCAUCUUAAAUCUUUUGUGGAAUCAAAUAAGACACAUCUGUAUCUACAUAUUUAUAGCUAUGUCCCUAUCUAUCCAUGUGGUAAAAAUUUUAAAGUUAUAUUACUUGUUUGGGGCUUAUAUUACUGGUGAAUAUGAAGACUGAUGUCUGCUCAACACAUGUCAGAACAAAGUUCAGGCACAGAAAUUUUAUUUCUAUUCAGAAUAUAAGAAAAUGCUGAAUCAAAGUGUAACAAUGAUCUCUUAUUGAAUCUAACCAUACAAAGGGAUCCCAUGUUUGUCGUAAUGUAAUAGUUCCAGAAUAAAUAUUAUUGGCAAGCAUUAUGUCACUAUGUCUCGUCAAUGUUGAUCUCAAAAUAUUUCAGAUUUGAACUCCAAACUUUCCUUAUUUUUCAUACAUAGUUUCCACAAACAAGCUCACUAACUCUGCUCAUGAUAGCCUAUAGAAAGUAGGCUGAGUGAAUGUCUCAAUGCGCUAAUGAAUGUAAAAAAAAAAGUUUAGCUUCAACUCCUAAAAUAAAUCACUUCAUGUAUUAAUGCAUUCAUACCAUUAGGGAAAAUACAGUGGGUUGUGGAGCAGGUACAAAUGCUGUGACUGUCCAUAGGCUGUUUGCUGAAUAACCUCACAGCUUACGUAUUUAAGAAUGUUUACUGGAAUGCCAGUAUGUGAAAAGCAUAAAACUCCAGCGACCCACCCUCCGUCAGUCCAUAGGAUUAUUUGGUUCUGUGACUAAUGUUGAUCAUCUUGGGUUUUCAUUGAUUCUUAGGAGUCCGGGUGUUCAAAAACAGCAACUUAAGUUUAGCAAAUAGCUCAGUGGCAGCUUAGGCCUUGAGUCACAAAUUCCAUCCUUAGAAAGCCAGCAGCAUGAAACAUAAUUCAUAUUGGCAAGAACUUGCAGAAAUCAGAAAGUCAAGAAUGAGGCUGGGAGUGCUUUGGAGUAGCAAGGCUGAGAAGGAAUACAGAUAAAAACAUUCAUAGAGAAUUCACAUUGCUGAGUGUCUCGGUGGUCAUCUGCAGUCCCCCCUUCUUUGUAGUUAAGCAAACAGUGAGUACAAGUGAUGGGCCAUGGCCACACAGAUAGUUCAUCUGCAGUGACAAGAGAAGUGACCAUGGAGAUAAUUCAGAGAACUUGCUUAGAUGAAUUUUCAAAUUACUGCACUAGUGCUUGUUCAUUGCAUUAAAUUUGGAAAACACGGAAGUACACAAAGUCAGUAAUCCUAUUCUUGAGAGAUGAUCACCAUGAACAUUUUACUAUGACCCAUUUGAAGAUGGUUUUUUUUUAAGAUGAUUUUAGGCCUAGGAUAUAGUGUCUGGAAUUGGUGGGUUCUUGGUCUCACAGACUUAAAGAAUGAAGCCACAGACCCUCAUGGUGGCAUUCAUAGUUCUUAAAGACAGCAUGUCUGGAGUUUAUUCCUUUUGGUGGGUUCGUGGUCUCACUGGCUUUAGAAGUGAAACUACAAACCUUGGCAGUGAGUGUGUUACAGCUCUAGAAGGCGGUGCAUCUGGAGUUGUUCGUUCCUCCCGAUGGGUUCAUGGUGUCACCGGCUUCAGGAGUGAAGCUGCAGACCUUCACGGUGAGUGUUACAGCUCAUAAAGACGGCAUGGACCCAAAGAGUGUGCAGCACCAAGACUGAUUACAAACACCAAAAGAACAAAGC